UACGGAGGGUGCAAGCGUUAAUCGGAAUUACUGGGCGUAAAGCGCACGUAGGUGGUUCGCUAAGUCAGCUGUGAAAUCCCCGGGCUCAACCUGGGGACUUGCAGUUGAAACUGGGUGAGCUAGAGUAGGGUAGAGGGGUGUGGGAAUUCCCGGUGUAGCGGGUGAAAUGCGUAGUAUAUCGGGAGGAACACCAGAGGCGAAGGCGGGCUACUGGGCUGAUACUGACGCUGAUGCGCGGAAAGCUAGGGGGAGCAAACAGG
rnacentral:rRNA from 1 species